GUGUAAUCAAGGAGCAAUAUUUCCUAAGAGUUACCUCUUUAAGGAAACACAUAGUCUGUCUGUGGUGAAAUACUACAUGUGCUAAUUAUUGGUCCCAACUGCCUUUAGGAGUUUGUAAUAGAUCUUUUGCCAUCAAACAAGGAUGGGGAGGGGGGAGGUUGCUGACAGGAGUAUCCUAUUUACUUAACAAUACAAAAGCUGGGGUGAUUAUACACCAUUUUCUUUUCCUUUUCUUCUCCUUUUCUUUUCCUUUCCUUUCCUUUCCUUUCCUUUCCUUUCCUUUCCUUUCCUUUCCUUUCCUUUCCUUUCCUUUCCUUUCCUUUCCUUUCCUUUCCUUUCCUUUCCUUCCCUUCCCUUCCCUUCCCUUCCCUUCCCUUCCCUUCCCCCCUUCCCCCCUUUCUCUCUUUCUUUUGUAUAUAUUUUUUAUUCUUACCCAGAGUGUGUUAGAAAUGAUGAAAUAUUAACAUACAAGUAAGAUGGAUAACUGCAUGGCAAAAUAGAUAAAAUGAUUGAAAAUGUCCUGCUUGAAUAAGCAAGCAUUCAUGAAAAGCAUAAAUGCAAACGUUCUACAUGGAGAGAGGAAAAAUCACAGAGAAAGCCUGAGCGGAAGUGGUCACAAGUGUAAAUAACAUGGCUAAUGAGGUAAAAGGACCACUGUAGGUUUGGGACGGAAACAGAAGUAAUGUGGUGGAGGGUCAGGGAGAAGAUGUGAAAAAGAACUUCACAGAAUCCACUGGCCUAUUUCCCAUUUUCCGAACAGGCCUUAUGUAUUCCCGCCUCUGCACCUUUGCUGGAUAUAAUCCAGUAGGCCUUGGAUGCUUGCCUGUUGUCUUCUAGAGAUUUCUCAUGUGGAAAGUCUAUGCAGUUGUGAAAGUCCAACUCAAUGCCAUGUUCUCCAGAAAGAUUUUCCAAUCCCUCAAGCUACGAUCUCUACCAUCACAAAACUCUUAUAACACUUUAUACAACACCAAACGUUAAUUAGUCAUAACUCUGUACUUGGUAACACAUUAACGUAUGUACAUUAGCUCACUGUUUUUUUUUUCUGCCAAAAAUCUUAUAAAUCCAUCAUUCUCUUUUUAAGUUAGGAGACUAUGCUUAGCAAAGUUAAUAACUUGUUAAAGGCCACAUGGCUAGGAAGUGGAGGGUUUGGAUUCAAACCAAGUUGAAUUUCAUUCUAUUUUUAUCGAAUCCUUUUUUGGUAACAAUUUUCUGUGAAUUCUGUGUUUCUUUGGUAAAACAUUCUGAGUCAGCAUGCGACCUGUUGGUCUAAGUUACCCAGGGUGAGCUCCAUCCGAGGUCUCAGGUACUCAAUGCUUAGUCUUCCCUGGCCAGUGAUGAUUUCUGGGUUGAGCAUGGUGACUUAAGUGGACCUACCGAAAAUGAAACCCAAACCUUUUUUAUGACGGUGGGAAAAAGAAAAGUUCUCUUCUUUUGACAGAUGAUCUCUGGUUAUGAGACCUAGAAUGAUUGCCAGUUUACGACCAUGAAGAAAAAUUAUCUGGUGUCAAAGCCAGUAGAUGAAGUAGGGUGGUGACUCAGGGAAAUGGAGCUGGCCCUGAUCAAAUUGCAUCUGAACUUGAUUCUAAGUGGUAGGUUGCAUUGUUAUUCCAGAAUAUUCACUGCUUAUCCCUCUAAGAAUCAUAUUUAACCACCCCAUUGACACCAUCCUUUGCCAUGCAACCUGCUUUGUGAUUUGCAAAAAAAUACAUGUGACUUCUGAGAAGAUGCUUGAAAAGUCAGCAUAUAGUUGUGCCAUUUCUCUUUGUAUUAUCCCCUGAGAUCUUCUAGUAGGGGUAGCUCCUUCAGCCUGCAUACCAGGAUAAAGUAGACACUUGAAGUAGAGAAGUAGCCUGCCUCAAAGAAACCUUUGUUGUAAGCUACUGCACUUUGGAAUUCUUUCUAUAGCAUAGCCUAGUGCAAAGCAAUUACUACUAUUUGUCAUCUCUGAUCUUUGCCAUUCAAUAAGCAUGUCUUCCAUUAUUGAAGCCAGUAUGAGUUUUCUGUUACUUUCCGUUGAAAUCACCUUAACUGGCAAACACAUUUUAGUCAAUUCAGUGAUGUUAUCAACCCUAAGUAAUAUCAGGAAAGCUUCUAACAUGAAAACUUCCCAAAUAUACAUCAUUAUGUAAUCUGGCAUGAUGCUUAUUUGGGGGUGGUAGUGGCUAUAAGGUGGAGGUCACUAUCUCUGGACACCCACAUGAAAUGGAAAGGCCUUUGCCUAUUUCUCUAGUGAUCUUAAUGAAGUCAUGUAGAAUAAAUUUAAUAUAAUGCAAAGAAUUUUACCA
rnacentral:lncRNA from 1 species